rnacentral:rRNA from 1 species
AUUGAACGCUGGCGGCAGGCCUAACACAUGCAAGUCGAACGAGUGGCGGACGGGUGAGUAAUGUCUGGGAAACUGCCUGAUGGAGGGGGAUAACUACUGGAAACGGUAGCUAAUACCGACUACAAUCAGAUGUGCCCAGAUGGGCUUAGUGAGUGGGUGGGGUAACGGCUCACCAAGGCGACUAUCCCUAGCUGGUCUGAGAGGAUGACCAGCAACACUGGAACUGAGCCACGGUCCAGACUCCUACGUGAGGCAGCAGUGUGGAAUAUUGCACAAUGGGCGCAAGCCUGAUGCAGCCAUGCCGCGUGUAUGAAGAAGGCCUGCGGGUUGUAAAGUACUUUCAGCGGGGAGGCGUUACCCGCAGAAGAAGCACCGGCUAACUCCGUGCCAGCAGCCGCGGUAAUAC